rnacentral:rRNA from 1 species
AGAGUUUGACUCUGGCUCAGGAUGAACGCUAGCGAUAGGCUUAACACAUGCAAGUCGAGGGGCAGCGAGAUGUAGCAAUACGUCGUCGGCGACCGGCGAAUGGGUGAGUAACACGUAUGCAACUUACCUCUUAGUGGUGAAUAACCCGAUGAAAGUCGGACUAAUACACCAUACUCUCCUUAGAUCACAUGAGAAGAGGAGGAAAGAUUAAUCGCUAAGAGAUAGGCCUGCGUUCCAUUAGCUAGUUGGUAAGGUAACGGCUUACCAAGGCAACGAUGGAUAGGGGGACUGAGAGGUUGACCCCCCACAUUGACACUGAGAUACGGGUCAAACUCCUACGGGAGGCAGCAGUGAGGAAUAUUGGUCAAUGGGCGAGAGCCUGAACCAGCCAAGUCGCGUGAAGGAAGACUGCCCGCAAGGGUUGUAAACUUCUUUUGUAUGGGAUUAAAGUCACCUACGUGUAGGUGUUUGCAGUUACCAUACGAAUAAGCAUCGGCUAACUCCGUGCCAGCAGCCGCGGUAAUACGGAGGAUGCGAGCGUUAUCCGGAAUUAUUGGGUUUAAAGGGUGCGUAGGUUGCAAGGGAAGUCAGGGGUGAAAAGCUGUAGCUCAACUAUGGUCUUGCCUUUGAAACUCUCUAGCUAGAGUGUACUGGAGGUACGUGGAACGUGUGGUGUAGCGGUGAAAUGCAUAGAUAUCACACAGAACUCCGAUUGCGCAGGCAGCGUACUACAUUACAACUGACACUGAAGCACGAAAGCGUGGGUAUCAAACAGGAUUAGAUACCCUGGUAGUCCACGCAGUAAACGAUGAAUACUAGAUCUAUGCGAUAUACAGUAUGGGUCUAAGCGAAAGCGAUAAGUAUUCCACCUGGGGAGUACGCCGGCAACGGUGAAACUCAAAGGAAU